rnacentral:rRNA from 1 species
UGGGGAAUAUUGCACAAUGGAGGGAACUCUGAUGCAGCGACGCCGCGUGAACGAAGAAGGCUUUCGAGUCGUAAAGUUCUUUUAUAUGGGAAGAUAAUGACGGUACCAUAAGAAGAAGCCCCGGCUAACUACGUGCCAGCAGCCGCGGUAAUACGUAGGGGGCUAGCGUUGUCCGGAAUCACUGGGCGUAAAGGGUUCGCAGGCGGAAAUGCAAGUCAGGUGUAAAAGGCAGUAGCUUAACUACUGUAAGCAUUUGAAACUGCAUAUCUUGAGAAGAGUAGAGGUAAGUGGAAUUUUUAGUGUAGCGGUGAAAUGCGUAGAUAUUAAAAAGAAUACCGGUGGCGAAGGCGACUUACUGGGCUCAUUCUGACGCUGAGGAACGAAAGCGUGGGUAGCAAACACG